rnacentral:rRNA from 1 species
AUGAACGCUUGCGGCGUGCCUCAUACAUGCAAGUCGAGCGAACAGACGAGGAGCUUGCUCCUCUGACGUUAGCGGCGGACGGGUGAGUAACACGUGGAUAACCUACCUAUAAGACUGGGAUAACUUCGGGAAACCGGAGCUAAUACCGGAUAAUAUAUUGAACCGCAUGGUUCAAUAGUGAAAGACGGUUUUGCUGUCACUUAUAGAUGGAUCCGCGCCGCAUUAGCUAGUUGGUAAGGUAACGGCUUACCAAGGCAACGAUGCGUAGCCGACCUGAGAGGGGGAUCGGCCACAGUGGAACUGAGACACGGUCCAGACUCCGACGGGAGGCAGCAGUAGGGAAUCUUCCGCAAUGGGCGAAAGCCUGACGGAGCAACGCCGCGUGAGUGAUGAAGGUCUUCGGAUCGUAAACUCUGUUAUUAGGGAAGAACAAAUGUGUAAGUAACUAUGCACGUCUUGACGGUACCUAAUCAGAAAGCCACGGCUAACUACGUG